UGAACGACUCUCGGCAACGGAUAUCUCGGCUCUCGCAUCGAUGAAGAACGUAGCGAAAUGCGAUACUUGGUGUGAAUUGCAGAAUCCCGCGAACCAUCGAGUCUUUGAACGCAAGUUGCGCCCGAAGCCAUUAGGUUGAGGGCACGCCUGCCUGGGCGUCUCAC
rnacentral:rRNA from 1 species